CAGUCGAGCGGAACGAGUUAUCUGAACCUUCGGGGGACGAUAACGGCGUCGAGCGGCGGACGGGUGAGUAAUGCCUAGGAAAUUGCCCUGAUGUGGGGGAUAACCAUUGGAAACGAUGGCUAAUACCGCAUGAUGCCUACGGGCCAAAGAGGGGGACCUUCGGGCCUCUCGCGUCAGGAUAUGCCUAGGUGGGAUUAGCUAGUUGGUGAGGUAAGGGCUCACCAAGGCGACGAUCCCUAGCUGGUCUGAGAGGAUGAUCAGCCACACUGGAACUGAGACACGGUCCAGACUCCUACGGGAGGCAGCAGUGGGGAAUAUUGCACAAUGGGCGCAAGCCUGAUGCAGCCAUGCCGCGUGUGUGAAGAAGGCCUUCGGGUUGUAAAGCACUUUCAGUCGUGAGGAAGGUAGUGUAGUUAAUAGCUGCAUUAUUUGACGUUAGCGACAGAAGAAGCACCGGCUAACUCCGUGCCAGCAG
rnacentral:rRNA from 3 species